ACCGAAUGCGUGAUUCCGUGAGAGCCGCUCAGGAAACUGGUGCUUUUAGACCCUCAGCCCCAGUCUGCAAAGAAGGCCUGGAGGGGAGAUGCCAGGACAGCCACUGUUGUGCAGUCCACACUGGAGGACCGGGACAGCUGUGUUCAGUUGUCAGGGAAGGAAUGCAACUGCACUGGCCAUCAACAGAGUUGACAUACAACCAGCAAGCAAAAGUGG